CGGGGUGAACGAUGACGACGACGGGGCUGCGCAAAAACAGCAAACCACCGACGGGCAUCACGGCGUGCUACUCACUGCGCAACAAAACAACAAGCCGGCAGCGCGCGGAGCCGUCGGGGCUGCUGCACAUUUCGUCGAGCACCCUGCGCACAUCGGAAAGGAGCAAGGGAAGGGGCUUUGCGCAGGGCUUCUAUUUUUGGAUCGGAGGGCUGGGCGCAGGGACUUGGACACCGUGGCUACAGUCCGAGCAGGGGCUCCUUGCUGCCGCACUAGGGAUAAAGAGGAAGGGGCGAGCAGCAGUAGGGGAGGGAGGCUGGCUGGGAGGAAGAUGAACAGGGAGGGCACUGGAAAAAUUUUCUGGGCGUCCAUGGGAGCGGC
rnacentral:misc_RNA from 1 species